rnacentral:lncRNA from 1 species
CUUUUCACUGUUAUAGCCCAAGUAUCUAAAACAGUGUCUAGCACUAAGUAGUCACCAGGUAAGUCUUUGCUGAGUGAAUAAAUCUUAGAAGGAAAGGAGAGAGAAAAUCUAGAUCCUUUAUAGUAUCCAUGGUUUUCUACAAACAGGUAGAAUGUAAUAUUUUAUUAUUUUGCACCAUGUAAGUUAGAAUCAUUGUGGAACAUCACAUUUAUACAAUUCUUAUUAGACUAUAUCUAGAUCUCUUUUAAAAUAAGCAAGCAAGCAAGCAAACAAACAGCAAUGAAGAUACGCUGAAGAAGUUUUGGGAGGAGGACCUACAUCUUUACAGUUUCACCCACAACUUACCCAUACCCUCCUUCAAUGAAUUCCUAGGGCUUCUUAGAAAAUAGUGGAUGCAAUUCAGGAAGUGUUUGUUUUAAAACACCAAGAAUGAUGACUGUCCAAAUUCAGAAUGUGUUCAUGUAUUCCAUAGACAAUGACUGAAUAUCUACUAGGUUCUGAAAAAUGUACUAGUUGCUGUGGUGGAUAAAAUAAUAAUAAUACACUGUAAGACAGUCAGGGGAAGAGGUUGGUUUGGUUUAGGAUGCAUGAUAAGAUAUCUCAUGAAGUAUCUAUAUACUCAAUUUUAGAAAAUGGAUCCCACUCUUAAAAACUGGAUUCAUUGAUGGCAUUAUCAAAUUGUUUCAAUGUUAAAUUUCACUAUCUAUAGUGUUGGAAUAUUAGUCCAGUAACAAUAUGAAACCAAAGAUACAUCACUAUCCAGUAAGGCAGUUUAUAUUAUUACCACAUAGUACAAUGUGUUAACAGAGAUCAAAGAUAAAUGAACACUUCCAACAUAAAACGUAUAAUAAUUUACUUCAGGUAACAUAUUUUUAAAUUAUGGGUAUAAUUAUGGGCAUAAUCAUAAUUACUACUUAGAAAUGUAUUAUGUGUAUCAUUUAACAUUUUAUAUAUAACAUUUUGAAUUUUUAAAAUAUUUAUGGGUCCUUGUUGUUAAAAUGAAGUGGCGUUCCAGAAAUAGUUGAUUGUAGAUUUGUUGCACGUAAAACAGAGAAAUCCAGCAUUUAUAGGUAACACCACAGUUAAGAGGAAAGAAAACUAAGAAAAUUGCAGUAGAAUACUUUUGUGAGGAAAAAAUGAAAUGUCAAAGAUAAAAUUUUUAUGGUUCUUUAAUCACAAUCAUCAAAUUGUAACAAAUGGAACUUUAAAAUUGAAUUUGUCUCUUGUCUGAAUUACACCUGAGAUUAUACCUGCACACCAAGUGAAGAAUCAUAUUUCAAAAUGCAUUUCAUUUGGCUUUUAACACAGUUAUUCUGUUGAAGACAUUUCUGUAAAGCUUGCCAGAUACAGGAAAAGCAAUUUAAUAAACACUGUGAUCAAAUAACUACUCAAUUGUUCUUCAUCUUUUUUAACAUUUAACACCUUGCAGAUCAUUGCUACAAUAAAGUGUGUUAUCCCCUUUUCACAAUGAUUCAUUAACCUGUAUUAAUUGUUCUUUACAAAGUUGUUUUUAUACAUCUUACUAACUACCAAUGUGAGGAAAAGGUCUAUGUUGCUUUCAUUCAGUAGAAAACACAUGCACUUUAAUAAUAUUGUUUCUUAAAAAACACCUAUUGGUUUGUUUUCUUUCAGUUUCUCAUUUAUCAUCAUUUGUUCAUCUUCACUGAAAGCUGAACAUAUGCAGCCUAACAACAACUUGAAUUAAUUGAAUGUUUCGUAUCUAUUCUCCAAAUUAAAUUUUCAGUUUUGCUCACCUUUUCAUGAUUAUAUUAAGAAAAUGUAGCCAUAAUUGCUUGUAUGGGAAAAAUUACUGAGAAAGACAUUCAGAUUAAAUGUAGGAAAUGCUCUAAGGAUCUUUGAAAGGAAAGAAAUGUCAGGUUCUAUAUUGUAUUCAAGGAAGAUAGGAGAUGAAAGUGUCAGAUAUGCAAGGCAGAUAAGAAAAUAGUUUUUAAAAAUAAGUCAUAGACAUUCUUUUUCUGAUAGUUAUUGAAAAAUCCUGUUCAUCAAAAGAUAUCUUAAAUCAAUAAAGAUUUCCUCAACAACCAGACAAAAUCGUUCUGUGUGUGUGUAUGUCUUAUUGGAACUGUAAUUAUAUUUACAAUACUAUAAUUAGUCGUGUUAUUAACUCUUGUUACUCACUAGAACAUUAUUGGUAAUAAGCAGUGACAUAUCUUAAAGAUUUUUCUUGUGUCCCAGCGUCUGCCCAGUGAUUAAUAUGUUAAGCUCCAUAAAUGUUUAUUCAACGAGUAAAUUAGUGACUAGGUACUAAGUUCUUAUUCUUGUGUACAGUCACCUAUCAAAUCUUUCCACUCUUCUCUGGGCAAUUGGGGAAGCUAUGUAUAGAAAAUGGAAGAGUCUCUGUCAGCCUGGGUUACUAAGGGUGAACCUGAACUUUCUCUGAGUGAAAAAAAAAUCUAUUUUACUGAGCCACAGAGAUUUGGAUAUUCAUAUUUUAUAGCAGUAUUAACUAAUACAAGGUAUUUUUAACCUUUAAAAGAAAAGAAGAAAAAGUAGAAGUGAUACUAAUUUCCCAGAUGCCAUCCAACUCCUCUUUCACCAAUAGAUAGCAUUGAAAGGCGGGAAUCAGUGCCUCCUCCUAGUGAUAGUGCCUCAGUUGAGCAGGGCUUAUUCCGAACUCAGUAUGCAACAUCCCGACAGGGCAAAUCUAGGGAUUGCUCUCAAGUCACUAUCCAACAUCCCGAUGGGUUGAAUGGCAUGCCAAACACAGCAAUAAGCACUAUAAAAAAGCCAGGCCGCCCCGGGGUGGGGCCACGUGGCUUCAGACCAGAGAGCGGAGCUACCUUGGCCCAAGCGCUGCAGCUGCCUGAACCCCAGGGCUUCGCAGCCUUGCUUGUUUUCUCUGAACCGCAAUAGGACGGUGUUCACAGCGAUUCAAAGGGUGGCAUUGGGUUGGACGUUUUGGUUACGAGCCAGCCUAUUCCCACAUUGUACGUGAAUGUUUAAUGUGCUCUCAAAACAUGGAAAAUAAGUUUAGUGCACAUAGCUAAAUCACAAAACAUCCGAUUUCUGUUUCCUCAGGAAGUCAUUACUGCGCCACCACAUCACGUGACCUUAACAUGAUCAAUGUAUUUCUCUGCCUUGACAUUUAAAUAAACUAUAUAAAUUAAGAUAAGUAGAUUAGAAAAUCAUUCAAAUUAUACCAUAAUCUGUACAAAUAUUGUGUCCCCUGCCAGGCAAGGGACAGGGUGCGGGCGACGGCCGCGUGGCCAAGGCCCCGCAGGAAAGCGCCCAGGUCUCCCUCACUCUCCAGGUGCCCUUUGCACCCAACAGUGCGUGUGAGGAACGAACUGCUGUUUGAGCGUCCCCUGAGAUUGUGCGUAGCCCCGUGUAAAUGUAAUAGCCUCCAUGGCUUAAUUGGCUAGCAAGCGAAUUUUCCCAGAUGAAAGCAAUGUUGGGUUAGGGGACGACGGUGCAGCCACCCAGCCUUUACCAGCAGCGUGCUGCAGACGAAGGCAGUCAAGGUGUGGAGGUGAUCACGCAGGCGCAGGUCAGUUGCCGUGAUGCUCCUUGAGUCAAUGAGCUCUUUGGUCUGCUCUUCUGCUCAAGCAGAAAAUGAUCUGCGCUUCACCCUUGAGAAGCUGACAAGAACCACAGGCUUCUUCAGGCAGGUGGUGGAACAUGGGUGUAUCCUUCAGGCUCUAGCCUGAUUUUCUGGCUCAUAAGGCCAAAGGGAGCUGGAAAGGUCCCCACGGCAGGACUCAUGGUGGAGAGAGAAUGAUCUAGAGGAUUCAGGCCUCUGCACACUGUGUCUGGGUCCCUCCUUAAAGAAUGAUAAAGACAAGUAAAGAGCUUGAAGCAGCCUGGAGUCCAGCCAGAAACCUUUAACUGAGCUUUAAAGGAGAUGGUCACAACACUUUUCAGAAUACUGGCAAAGGCCUCCUGUGGCCAAGUUUGUCCUGGGAUGAGCAAAAUUUAAUGUUAACCUGCUGUAUCUUUGCUUUUAAUAUAUCUGCUUGCCCAUCACAAUGAUAUUAUGGUUAAUUUCACCAAUUUGGUAACCUGCCUCUUGGGAAGUACGAAAGUAAGCAAGGGCCAGGUAUGGUGACUCACGCCUGUAAUCCCAGUACUUUGGGUGGCUGAGGUGGGUGGAUUGCUUGAGCC